UAGUCCACGCCGUAAACGAUGGACACUAGUUGUUGGAUUAUUUCAGUGACUAAGCGAAAGUAAUAAGUGUCCCACCUGGGGAGUACGAUCGCAAGAUUGAAACUCAAAGGAAUUGACGGGGGCCCGCACAAGCGGUGGAGCAUGUGGUUUAAUUCGAUGAUACGCGAGGAACCUUACCAGGGCUUAAAUGUGGUCUGACAGCUUUAGAGAUAGAGUUUUCUUCGGACAGAUCACAAGGCGCUGCAUGGUUGUCGUCAGCUCGUGCCGUGAGGUGUCAGGUUAAGUCCUAUAACGAGCGCAACCCCUAUCGUUAGUUGCUAACAAGUAAUGUUGAGGACUCUAGCGAGACUGCCGGUGACAAACCGGAGGAAGGUAAGGAUGACGUCAAGUCAGCAUGCCCCUUACGCUCUGGGCUACACACGUGCUACAAUGGUCGUGACAAAGAGUUGCUAGUCUGCGAAGGCAAGCCAAUCUCAUAAACGCGGCCUUAGUUCGGAUUG
rnacentral:rRNA from 1 species